GAAGCGGAAGCCGAAAAGCUAGAGAGUAGGCA
rnacentral:ncRNA from 1 species